UCAUGGCAUUUGAUUGACAUUCGAUUGAAGUGUACCUCGGACAUUUUCCGUUGUACCAAAGUUGAAGCUCAUAACAGUGCCGGAGACAGUCUUGUAAUAUUGUAAACAUCCAUUAGGAGCUGAAACGGAGACAAUUUAAUCCUUAUAUUCCAACGUCGAUCGAACGCGUAAUCUGCAUUGGUGUCGACGGAUAUCGUGAUUGGCGUUGCUCCAUUAAAGUCAACGUAUACUGAAACGAAAUCUUACGUCUAGUUAAUUCCGUUCUUCUCAAUCUGUAUGAAAAUUUUCACAAAUUUGAUUUACCAUGCUGGUUGGUGUUCUCUCCGCAUAUUCUGGGCACCGUAGACGAACCACCCGAUACCAAAAACACAUCUAAAUCGCAAAAUCCAGUUGAAUUAGGCUGGGCCCAGGUGGCCUCCAGAAAAUCUAGCCGCAACUGCAAAUCGUUGCACCGUGAUCGUGCAUCGUUCUCCACCUCGAUAAGUGAUGGGAUAUCUUGGACUUACAAAGUACGUAUUAUUCAUGUUGGUGGUGGAGCCGCAAGACUUUUGAACUGCAAUACGUAUAAAUUCCGUCGUGUCAAUUUUAUCGUGAGGCACAUUCAUUUAUUUUAUGAUCGACAAAUUAUAAUUUUAUAAUUAAUUCCGUUAUGCUACUUACACACGCAGCAAGUGCCCAAUCCGUUGGCGCAUGGUCCCGAUGGAUUACCUCCGUAAUUAAUGCACUCCCGUCUUGUAAAGCACGUUCCAUUAAGUUGAUCGAUGCUCGACAGGCACUCGGAGUUAGCGAAACGUACGACGCUGAAUAGCGGGAAGACUGGGCGAAGAUGCAUCACGACGUUUAAAAAAUAUAUAUAUAUCUAAAUGA